GAACUUCACGGCCACUUCCUGAAACAAUAUCCUGGUGCUGCCCGAGUGCGGCUCACAGACUCCAGCAUCAGUGAUUUUGUUGCAGGCGGUGGCCACGCCUC
ensembl:miRNA mir338-3 microRNA mir-338-3